CAUCUCUGCUACAGAACUACAAUUCCCAGAAUGUCUUGCUGAGAUGCUGAGAUCAUUUUAUUAUACCUGCUCAGUGAGAAAUUGCAGAUUCAAAUGAGAUAAACAGGACUGAACAGGAGACCAGGAGAGGCUGAAAAUCAAUUGUUAAAUUGCAAAAUCUGAGCUUGAUACAGCUGGGAUAGAUCACUUGAGAACUCUUUUUAAUAUGGAAAAUGUUAUAUGCAGAAAUAUUUUUAACACAAAGAGAAAUAAGUCAAAACUCUCAGGAAAUCAAAAAGGUUCUAAUUUGGGUAUCUCCCAAAAAAAGAAAGACGGAGAAUCUUCCGACAAAUUAAAAAGAGAACACAAAUUUGUUCAACCCAAUAUACCCCAAACAAAAGUAAAAUGUCAUAUUUGUUCUUGGUGCAAAAAGCAGUUUUCGCAAAAGUCCCAUCUUAACAGACACAUAAAAAGUCAUACGGGGGAUGCUCCUCACGCGUGUUCAGAAUGUGAAAAAUGCUUUAGUGUAAAGUCCAAUCUUAUCAUACAUAUGAGAAUUCACACAGGGGAGAAACCGUACAAAUGUUCUGAAUGUAAAAGUUGCUUUGCACACCAAAGCCAUCUUGUGGUCCACCAAAGAACUCAUACAGGGGUGAAACCCUACAGCUGCCCCGAAUGUAAACAAAGUUUUGCCUACUCUUCAGUUCUUAGAAGCCACCAGAAAAUUCACAUGGGAAUUAGGCAUAAUUGUACCGAGUGCAGCAAGACCUUCAGUCGGAAACAACAUCUUAGUCGUCACCUCAGAAUCCACACGGGCGAAAAGCCGUUCAACUGUUCAGAAUGCGGGAUGUGCUUUAAUAGGAAAUACACUCUGGAUGCACAUUACAGAACGCACACAGGAGAAAAACCUUACGAAUGCUUUGAAUGUGAUAAAAAGUUUAGUAUGAAAAAAACACUUCACCAGCACCAACAGAAGGUUCAUGCUGCCGACGGUUCCUCAUGUUCAUCAAACUUAGAGACUGAGUGAGAGGGCUCAGUAUAUGUACACGGUGUGAUAAAGUAAUGAGAUCUGAUUAUAUCUACAGAUAUAAGCUAAAGACGCAUGUAUAUGUACACAAUGUGAUAAAGUAAUUAGAUCUGAUUAUACCUAUAGAUAUAAGAUAAAGACACAUGUAUAUGUACACAAUGUGAUAAAGUAAUGAGAUCUGAUUAUACCUACAGAUAUAAGAUAAAGACACAUGUAUAUGUACACAGUGUGAUAAAGUAAUGAGAUCUGAUUAUACCUACAGAUAGAAGAUAAAGACACAUGUAUAGGUACACAGUGUGAUAAAGUAAUGAGAUCUGAUUAUACCUACAGAUAGAAGAUAAAGACACAUGUAUAGGUACACAAUGUGAUAAAGUAAUGAGAUCUGAUUAUACCUACAUAUAUAAGAUAAAGACACAUGUAUAUGUACACAGUGUGAUAAAGUAAUGAGAUCUGAUUAUACCUACAGAUAUAAGAUAAAGACACAUGUAUAUGUACACAAUGUGAUAAAGUAAUGAGAUUUGAUUAUACCUACAGAUAUCAGAGACAUGUAUAUGUACACAAUGUGAUAAAGUAAUGAGAUCAGCUUAUAUCUACAAGCUCAUCCCAUUUUAUUAGGUUGUGGCUUCAAAACACAAAACCAGCUAAUUCAUAUACACAAAUAAACCUUAAAAAGCAAAUCCUCAUACAUUGUAUGCUCUGCAGUUGGUAAAACUGAAAACACAUUAAGGGGAAAACAAGUUUACAGUUUACUGUCCCUUUAAAUUAAUGUUUUGGUUUUUAUGCCAAUUGUAUCAUGACUUAACCACUUUGUGAUUUUCAUUAAAAUGUUUAGUCUUA